GAAAACUAAACUCCCUCUCUCAAACUCUCUCAUCCUCUACCCUCUCCAGUCAAUCUCUGAUGGGAGCUCCGGUCACUGCCACCGCGCCGGCCACCGUCGUCGGCCACCGCACACGGUGGCCCGAAGUUCAAAAGGUAAUUUUUUUGUUUUAUUUUUUUAAUAAUACAUAUGUAUAUGUAUAUAAAAGGAGAAAAAAAAAGAAAGAAAGAAAAAUAUUCGAAAGAAAGAAAAAAAAGAAAAGGAUGCAAACCACCUUCUUUCGUUUCUAUAUUUUUCUUGCUUUUGGUUAUCCUCUGUUUUAGUGUUGUUCUCUACUUUGGUGGUUUGGAGUCACUUGUUUUUGCGUUUAAAACUAUGAUUUUUAUUCAUGAAUUGCCCCCCAUUUUUUACAAGGUUCUAAAUCGACUUUUAUAGCCAUUGUACAAGUCUUUUUCUCUUAUUUGUCGUCUUUUCCUUCCUUUUACAAUGUAAGUUGCUGGAGCAAGUGGCGGUGGGUGGUGGCAGAGGCAUCAGAGGAGUUGGUGGUGGCAGAGGCUAGGAGCGGCGGCUUAACUUAAGGGAAGGCUAGGGUUUUUUCUUUUUCUAAUUUUGUUUGGGCUAGGAUUAGGUUGGGCUGCUAGGUUUUUUUUUAAUUAGUUUGAGUUUGGUUUUGGGCUAAUGUAAUGGGGUGAGUUUAGUGUAAAUGGGUUUAAGUAGGUCUGAUGGGUUAAAGGUUUUGGGUUGUUUGAUUCAAUUUGGGUUUGGGAUUUGGUGGGUCAAAAUUAGCCUGUAACAUUAUAGGUUUUUCAUUGGUUUGAGCUUGACCUAAUUUGGAUUUGGGUAAAAAAAUAUUAAAUUUAAAAUUUUUCAUCUAUUAAUGGGAAAUUAAUUUUUUUAUUAACUAAAUACAUUAAAUUGAAAAAAAAAUAAUCUUAUAAUCUUGAAUUAAGUUUUCCUACUUGUAAGAAUUGCAUAUAAGAUUUCAUUCCAUGUAUCAGGAACACCAGCUAGGCACCAAUGACUACAAUCAUUUCCUUUUAGACCAGUAUAAAUUGAUGGGUGACCAUCUUUCCUCAGCUGUGAUAAUCUGGUUAUGUCGAGCAAAACCACCGGUGUCGACAUGUUUUUUAGCACUUCCUUUACGAUCAUCACUUCCGGAGGUGGACCACUUUCGUAUGUUAAAUCGGUAGCCG
rnacentral:lncRNA from 1 species